rnacentral:misc_RNA from 1 species
AGCAAAGGGGAUUGUACAUCACUAUUCAUGGAUGAGCAUUCUGGUAAAAAAGCUGGUGAUGGGGUGGUUGUUUCUAGAAAGGGAUCUGCCCUUGUUUUGAGAGAUACUGCUAAUAAUAAAGAUCGAAAUGCUCAAUUUUGCAACCGAAUUGGGUGUAGUGGGAGACUAAACUCUGCAAAAGGUACUCAAAUCAGUUAUUCGGAGAAAGCUAAAUCGUCAAGGCAAUCAUUCCGGUCUCCCUCAAAUGGCAAGGAAAUAAUUGGAAGUUCUUCUAGGACCUGCUCUGCAACCAGCAAUCCUAGGAAAUCUUUUUCAGGGCCUCGGAAAAAGCCAUCUUCUCAGCC